UUCUAAGUAACCUAGUUUAGGUACUAAACUUUUAAUUUAGUUACGAUAAAAUAUUAUCCUUAGGAA
rnacentral:tRNA from 1 species